GAACGGUCCCCUCGCAGCGAUAGGUAGCGAACCCCGCCAGGCCCGGAAGGGAGCAACGGUAGUUAUCAACUCGGGUGCCGAGGUGUGGCUGUUCGAG
rnacentral:SRP_RNA from 2 species